rnacentral:lncRNA from 1 species
UUUGCAUCUUCUCGAUGGUGAUUACUCCAUAAGUUUACAUGGUAUCAUAGCUAAAGUGUUCGAGCAGGAGUUCAUCAUCAAUUUGUGGUUAUUCAGCUUGUGGUUGUUCAACUUUGUAGUGAUUUUUUGUUGAUUUGCUUAUUACUGUUUCUUUUAGAGCUUCGAUCUGUAAUUCAUGGUGAUUGAUGAGUCCAGUGAUGCAGCAGUUGUCCCAUCCCAUUCAAUCAAGAUUGAUCAUUAUCAUCCCAUGUAUCUGCAUCCAUCAGAUACCUCAG